rnacentral:rRNA from 1 species
UCGAUGAAGAACGCAGCGAAAUGCGAUAAGUAAUGUGAAUUGCAGAAUUCAGUGAAUCAUCGAAUCUUUGAACGCACAUUGCGCCCCUUGGUAUUCCGGGGGGCAUGCCUGUUCGAGCGUCAUUUCAACCCUCAAGCUCAGCUUGGUCUUGGGCCCUGCCGGAAACGGCUGGCCUUAAAAACAGUGGCGGUGCUAUCGAGCUUUACGCGUAGUAAUUAAACCCUCGCGAUUGAGUCUUGGUGGACACUGGCCAGCAACCCCAAUUUUCUAUGGUUGACCUCGGAUCAGGUAGGGAUACCCGCUGAACUUAAGCAUAUCAAUAAGCGGAGGAAAAGAAACCAACAGGGAUUACCUCAGUAACGGCGAGUGAAGCGGUAACAGCUCAAAUUUGAAAUCUGGCUCUUUUAGGGUCCGAGUUGUAAUUUGUAGAAGAUGCUUCGGGUGUGGCUCCGGUCUAAGUUCCUUGGAACAGGACGUCAUAGAGGGUGAGAAUCCCGUAUGUGACUGGCUGCCUCCGCCCAUGUGAAGCUCUUUCGACGAGUCGAGUUGUUUGGGAAUGCAGCUCAAAAUGGGUGGUAAAUUUCAUCUAAAGCUAAAUAUUGGCCAGAGACCGAUAGCGCACAAGUAGAGUGAUCGAAAGAUGAAAAGCACUUUGGAAAGAGAGUUAAACAGUACGUGAAAUUGUUGAAAGGGAAGCGCUUACAACCAGACUUCUGUUCAGUGUUCCUCCGGUCUUUUGACCGGUCUACUCACUGUUCCGAGGCCAACAUCAUCUGGGACCGCUGGAUAAGACCUUAGGAAUGUAGCUCCCCUCGGGGAGUGUUAUAGCCUGUGGUGAUGCAGCGAGUCUCGGGUGAGGUCCGCGCUUCGGCAAGGAUGUUGGCGUAAUGGUUGUCAGCGGCCCGUCUUGAAACACGG